AGCUGGAAGGAUUUCAGCCGCAGGCUGGGUGAGGAAUGCGAACCGGUCUACUUUGUGGACAUACGUGGCUAAUGUUUGGAGACUAUGCUACUCAGUGCUGGAGCAGUGAACAGUAACGCUAUGCAGCAAUAGACAAUGGCAACGAAAUACACGAGAAUGUGAAACUGAAUAACACUUAUGCGUAAUGUCCCAAAUCGUGCAGAAUUUCCUGCACGUAUUUGAGCUUCCAAGACAAUACUGCAGGAGUGUAGUUAGCUCGGAUUAGCCGGACAAACAAGGCUGCCUCACCAGAAGGUCCUCAUUGGUAGCGGGCAGAGACGGGAACUGGAGUUUGUUCGCCUCGUCCAUCCUGAGGUCUGUUCGGGUACCGACGGCCCGUCUUUACGCGCGGUAAGGAUGUUUCUCGCGGCGGGGUUAGCUGGACAGUCGGCGCAAUUUGUUUUGAGGCUCCACAUGCAUGUCCGCCAUGCUGUAACCCUGACAGAUGUGUCACGUGACAGCUCAGCAGAUGGCAAACUGAGUUCGAAGAAAGAAGAAAAGAGAACAAUGGCGACGUCCCGUGGUCGAUUUACGAAGCGCAGGACUGACUUCCGGAUGAAAUACAUCCACAUUAACUGAUUAAUCAUGCUUACCAGAUGCGAAUCAGUCGCCGUGGUUGGUUGUAUUCCCGUGAGCCCUGUCUGCAACAAAGUGGAUGGAUGAUGACAGGGCCUGCGCACCAGCCAUCCACUUGCAGAUCUAUCACACUAGAUGGCAGUCAAACACAAAUAUUUAGAAGUCGGCUGCGAGCCACCGCUGACAGCAGCUGGGGCUGGGCAUGUCCACCUCCAUCGACGGGAGCUUCAGGUGGUUGUGGGGGAUUGCUUUUAGGGAAUAUGCACAUCCCUUUGUUCGAGACAUGAGAGAGAUCAUAAAUGCACGCUCACUCGCUCCGGCGCACCUUUCAUUCAUU